UCCCUUGUAGCUCAGUCGGUAAAGAAUUUGCCUGCAGUGCAGGAGAUCCAGGUUCAAUUCCUGGGUUGGGAA
rnacentral:tRNA from 1 species